AUGGGGAGAGAUCCUGCAGCGCGGCCAGCCCAGACGUUAGCCGAGGGCCUUAGGGGAGGAAGGGCUCUCUGCAGAGCCACAGCUGGAGCUGCGUGCGCACUGCCCUGGGUCAUCCGUGCCAGGCUGGACACAGCAGUUUUCACGUCCUCCCCUGUCCUGGUAGACAAAGCCCCAUGGGAACGCUCGGGUGGGGUUGGAGGGCAGAGGAGGCACAGGUGGUGUGGCUGGGCACUGUGGGAGUCCAGGCCUCAGCCCGCAGCGCUGUCCCGUGAUCCCUGCUGCGGGAAUGGCAGGAGGAGGCGAGAUCGGGUUGGUCCCAGGUGGGCCUGCUGGGUUCACAGCCCUGCCGCAGGCUUCCAGGUCACUGCUGGGGCAGACACGGAUUUGGGGUGCACUCGAAUUUCAGGAAGCCUCUGCCUGCAGAGGAGGCGCAGCACGCGGAGGUGGCCUUGGGCAUGGGGUCCUUCCCCUCCGCUCUGCAGCUGGGGACCUGGGGCUUGUGGCCCCUCAGCUUCUGCGCGUCCAGGGCGCUGCAGGCAGCAGCCGCCCAGCACCACAAGGGGGAGAGAAACCCGUGCUGCUUCCGCGGCUUGUGGACAGGACCGGGCCAGGCUGAGCCAGGAGCCUGGGGCUCCAGCCUGGUCUCCCACGGGAGCAGCAGGGGCCCGACUACUGGGGCCAUGGGCAUCAGCAGGGGUCAAACCGGAAGCAGAGCGGCCGCGACCUGAACCAGCGCUGGACGCCUUGAUCUGCUGUGCCAACCUGCCAGCGGCUGCUGUCCGCAGUCCUCCUGCGGCUGACUCAACCUGGGCUAUCCAUGCUCCGGCGCUGGCACCAGGGGCAGGCUGGGCAUGGAGAGCGCCACCACGCCUGCACUGCACACUCAGGGCGGGCCCUGGGGCCUGCGGCACCAGAGCUGCAGGCUGUGUGGGCAGGGCGGUGCUGAGACCCUCGCUGCCACACGUGCAUCCACACCAGCCCAACAGGAGCCUGGGCCGGCAGGAGGGACGCCCCCAAGGCCCCUGA
rnacentral:lncRNA from 1 species